rnacentral:rRNA from 1 species
GCUAACUACGUGCCAGCAGCCGCGGUAAUACGUAGGUGGCAAGCGUUGUCCGGAAUCAUUGGGCGUAAAGAGCGCGUAGGUGGCUUGUCAGGUCUGGUGUGAAAUUUCGGGGCUCAACCCCGAACCUGCAUCGGAAACCGGCUUGCUAGAGUCUGGGAGAGGAGAGUGGAAUUCCUGGUGUAGCGGUGAAAUGCGUAGAUAUCAGGAGGAACACCGGUAGCGAAGGCGGCUCUCUGGAACAGUACUGACGCUGAGGCGCGAAAGCUAGGGGAGCGAACAGGAUUAGAUACCCCAGUAGUC